rnacentral:rRNA from 1 species
AUUGAACGCUGGCGGCAGGCUUAACACAUGCAAGUCGAGCGGGGUGAUGGUGCUUGCACUAUCACUUAGCGGCGGACGGGUGAGUAAUGCUUAGGAAUCUGCCUAUUAGUGGGGGACAACAUCUCGAAAGGGAUGCUAAUACCGCAUACGUCCUACGGGAGAAAGCAGGGGAUCACUUGUGACCUUGCGCUAAUAGAUGAGCCUAAGUCGGAUUAGCUAGUUGGUGGGGUAAAGGCCUACCAAGGCGACGAUCUGUAGCGGGUCUGAGAGGAUGAUCCGCCACACUGGGACUGAGACACGGCCCAGACUCCUACGGGAGGCAGCAGUGGGGAAUAUUGGACAAUGGGGGGAACCCUGAUCCAGCCAUGCCGCGUGUGUGAAGAAGGCCUUAUGGUUGUAAAGCACUUUAAGCGAGGAGGAGGCUCUUUUGGUUAAUACCCAAGAUGAGUGGACGUUACUCGCAGAAUAAGCACCGGCUAACUACGUGCCAGCCGCCGCUGUAA